rnacentral:rRNA from 1 species
CCUGGGGAGUACGGCCGCAAGGUUAAAACUCAAAUGAAUUGACGGGGGCCCGCACAAGCGGUGGAGCAUGUGGUUUAAUUCGAUGCAACGCGAAGAACCUUACCUGGUCUUGACAUCCACAGAACUUAGCAGAGAUGCUUUGGUGCCUUCGGGAACUGUGAGACAGGUGCUGCAUGGCUGUCGUCAGCUCGUGUUGUGAAAUGUUGGGUUAAGUCCCGCAACGAGCGCAACCCUUAUCCUUUGUUGCCAGCGGUUCGGCCGGGAAC